GCUCGGGUGGCGGAAUUGGUAGACGCGCUAGAUUCAGGUUCUAGUGUCUUAACGGACGUGCGGGUUCAAGUCCCGCCUCGAGCACCA
rnacentral:tRNA from 1 species